rnacentral:rRNA from 1 species
UACGUAGGAUGCGAGCGUUAUCCGGAAUUACUGGGUGUAAAGGGAGCGUAGACGGCCAGACAAGUCUGAAGUGAAAAUCCAGCGCUUAACGUUGGAAGUGCUUUGGAAACUGCCGGGCUAGAGUGCAGGAGGGGCAGGCGGAAUUCCUAGUGUAGCGGUGAAAUGCGUAGAUAUUAGGAGGAACACCAGUGGCGAAGGCGGCCUGCUGGACUGCAACUGACGUUGAGGCUCGAAGGCGUGGGGAGCAAACAGG